rnacentral:rRNA from 1 species
CCUAUCAGCUUGUUGGUGGGGUAAUGGCCUACCAAGGCGACGACGGGUAGCCGGCCUGAGAGGGUGACCGGCCACACUGGGACUGAGACACGGCCCAGACUCCUACGGGAGGCAGCAGUGGGGAAUAUUGCGCAAUGGGCGGAAGCCUGACGCAGCGACGCCGCGUGGGGGAUGACGGCCUUCGGGUUGUAAACCUCUUUCAGCAGGGACGAAGCGCAAGUGACGGUACCUGCAGAAGAAGCACCGGCCAACUACGUGCCAGCAGCCGCGGUAAUACGUAGGGUGCGAGCGUUGUCCGGAAUUAUUGGGCGUAAAGAGCUCGUAGGCGGUGUGUCGCGUCGGCUGUGAAAACUUGGGGCUUAACCCUGAGCUGCGGUCGAUACGGGCAUACUUGAGUUCGGCAGGGGAGACUGGAAUUCCUGGUGUACGGUGAAAUGCGCAAUAUCAGGAGGAACACCGGUGGCGAAGGCGGGUCUCUGGG